AUUAAACGUUAUCAUCAAUUCAUCACUUCCAUUAAAAUUCGUUUGGCGUCAGUGGGUCUCAAGCCCUAUUAGUAAUAAAUAUAAAAUAAAUCUUUUAAAAAUUCUCCUGAUUUACAUUCUUUAUUUUUCGUGAGAGUAUAAAUAAUAACGCACUAGUUACUACUUUCUGAAUUAUUUUAACAAAACAAUUAAUGUCUUGUAAUACCCAAAGUGACGAAAUCAUUUUUGAUAAUAGGCAAAAUGUGGAGCAAUUGUACACAUACAUGAAUGUUGAUGAAUUACUUUUCACUGCAGAAUGUCAUAACUGCAAAUCUUGGAAAUGUCGCACCGUUGGAAUUUUAAAAAGUAUCAAUGGUCAUUUUUAUUUAAACGAUAUAAAUGCAGAGACGAAUCUGCAAGCACCAAAACUCUUAGUAUCAAUGUUGUAUCAAAAUGACACACCAAAUAGUAUAUUACCAAUGACUGUUCAGCUUUUUGGUAUGAUGCAGUGGAUAGAAAAACCAGUUUUACUAGUUGAAGUAAUACAUGUAAUAAAUCCAAGAAUGGCUGUAAACAUAACAAAUUCUCUUAGUUCUAUAAUAAAUUAUCAAACAAACAACAAACAAUUUGUAACAAAUAAAUUUGAAGAAUAAACUUUGUAAUAUGUA